GCCCGGUUAGCUCAGUUUGGUAGAGCGUGAGACUUUUAUCUGGACUGCUCCGAAAGACAUCUUAAGGUCGUGGGUUCGACCCCCACAUCGGGCG